AUUGAACGCUGGCGGAAGGCCUAACACAUGCAAGUCGAGCGGAGCGGCGGACGGGGGAGUAAUGCCUAGGAAUCUGCAUGGUAGUGGGGGAUAAGGUCCGGAAACGGGCGCUAAUACCGCAUACGAUCAGCUGAGCAUAGGUCGGAUUAGCUCGUGGGUGGGGUAAAGGCCUACCAAGGCGAAGAUCCGUAACUGGUCUGAGAGGAUGAUCAGCCACACUGGAACUGUGACACGGUCCAGACUCCUACGUGAGGCAGCAGUGGGUAUUAUUGGACAAUGGUCGAAAGCCUGAUCCAGCCAGGCCGCGUGUGUGAAGAAGGUCUUCGGAUUGUAAAGCUCUUUAAGUUGGGAGGCGUUACCAACAGAAUAAGCACCGGCUAACUUCGUGCCAGCAGCCGCGGUAAUUC
rnacentral:rRNA from 1 species